rnacentral:rRNA from 1 species
GAUGAACGCUAGCGGCAGGCUUAACACAUGCAAGUCGAGGGGCAGCGGUGGAGCAGCAAUGCUCUGACGGCGACCGGCGGAAGGGUGCGUAACACGUGAGCGACUUGCCCGUCACAGGGGGAUAACCGGCGGAAACGGCGACUAAUACCCCAUAUGAUGCGAUGCUGCAUGGCAUUGCAUUGAAAGAUUCAUCGGUGGCGGAUAGGCUCGCGGGACAUUAGCUAGACGGCGGGGCAACGGCCCACCGUGGCGACGAUGUCUAGGGGUUCUGAGAGGAAGGCCCCCCACACUGGGACUGAGACACGGCCCAGACUCCUACGGGAGGCAGCAGUGGGGAAUCUUCCGCAAUGGGCGAAA